GACGAACGCUGGCGGCGUGCUUAACACAUGCAAGUCGAACGGAAAGGCCUGCUUUCCCUUGUGGAUUGCGGGUACUCGAGUGGCGAACGGGUGAGUAACACGUGAGUUAUCUGCCCCCAACUUGGGUAUAAGCCUGGGAAACUGGGUCUAAUUCCCGAUAGGACUGCAGGGUGGUGCCUGUGGUGGAAAACGAUUUUCUAGUGGUUGGGGAUGAGCUCGCGGCCUAUCAGCUUGUGGGUGGGGUAAUGGCCUACCAAGGCGGCGACGGGUAGCCGGCCUGAGAGGGUGGACGGCCACAUUGGGACUGAGAUACGGCCCAGACUCCUACGGGAGGCAGCAGUGGGGAAUAAUGCACAAUGGGCGGAAGCCUGAUGCAGCGACGCCGCGUGGGGGAUGACGGCCUUCGGGUGGUAAACUCCUUUCGACCGAGAGGAAGCCACCUGGUUGGAAGGGUGGUGACGGUAGUGGUAGAAGAAGCACCGGCUAACUACGUG
rnacentral:rRNA from 1 species